GUUUCAGUGGCCUGACCAUGAUACGUGUCGAGAGUGUCCUAUUUAAAGAAGUGUCCAGCACCAGUGAUAUAACAAACCAGAAUAGAGGAAAUAUCAUAAUGAUCAUAUUAAACCAAAACAGGCCAACUACAUCCCAGGCAGAAUUUCGGGGAAUAGAGAUGCAAGUUGGGGAUUUCCCAGAAAAAAGCGAGAGAGUGUGUGUGAGUAAGAUUUUAAGAGUUUUGUAUAUUGCGAGUGAUGAGUUGUGUCUUCAGGGUGUGUGUGAGAUAUUUUGUGUAUUAACAGUGUGGAACACGAUUUGUGUACGGAGCGUGUGAGAGACGAGUUGUGGGUACAGAGUGUGAGAUAUUUUUUGUGUACAGAGAGUGUGCGAGUUGAGUUUUGUGUGCAGCGUGGGAGGUGAGUUUUGUGACAGAGAGUGUGUGAGUUGGGUUUUGUGUUCAGAGAUUUGUGAGAUGAGUUCAGUGUACAGAGAGUGUGCAAGUUUAAUUUUGUGUA
ensembl:lncRNA